UGCUGGAGGUAUCAGAAGUGCGAAUGCUGACAUAAGUAACGAUAAAGCGGGUGAAAAGCCCGCUCGCCGGAAGACCAAGGGUUCCUGUCCAACGUUAAUCGGGGCAGGGUGAGUCGACCCCUAAGGCGAGGCCGAAAGGCGUAGUCGAUGGGAAACAGGUUAAUAUUCCUGUACUUGGUGUUACUGCGAAGGGGGGACGGAGAAGGCUAUGUUAGCCGGGCGACGGUUGUCCCGGUUUAAGCAUGUAGGCUGGUUGUCCAGGCAAAUCCGGAUAAUCAAGGCUGAGGUGUGAUGACGAGGCACUACGGUGCUGAAGUAACAAAUGCCCUGCUUCCAGGAAAAGCCUCUAAGCAUCAGGUAACAUCAAAUCGUACCCCAAACCGACACAGGUGGUCAGGUAGAGAAUACCAAGGCGCUUGAGAGAACUCGGGUGAAGGAACUAGGCAAAAUGGUGCCGUAACUUCGGGAGAAGGCACGCUGGUGUGUAGGUGAAGUCCCUGCGGAUGGAGCUGAGACCAGUCGAAGAUACCAGCUGGCUGCAACUGUUUAUUAAAAACACAGCACUGUGCAAACACGAAAGUGGACGUAUACGGUGUGACGCCUGCCCGGUGCCGGAAGGUUAAUUGAUGGGGUUAUCCGUAAGGAGAAGCUCUUGAUCGAAGCCCCGGUAAACGGCGGCCGUAACUAUAACGGUCCUAAGGUAGCGAAAUUCCUUGUCGGGUAAGUUCCGACCUGCACGAAUGGCGUAAUGAUGGCCAGGCUGUCUCCACCCGAGACUCAGUGAAAUUGAACUCGCUGUGAAGAUGCAGUGUACCCGCGGCAAGACGGAAAGACCCCGUGAACCUUUACUAUAGCUUGACACUGAACAUUGAGCCUUGAUGUGUAGGAUAGGUGGGAGGCUUUGAAGCGUGGACGCCAGUCUGCGUGGAGCCAACCUUGAAAUACCACCCUUUAAUGUUUGAUGUUCUAACGUUGGCCCCUUACCGGGGUUGCGGACAGUGUCUGGUGGGUAGUUUGACUGGGGCGGUCUCCUCCCAAAGCGUAACGGAGGAGCACGAAGGUUAGCUAAUCCUGGUCGGACAUCAGGAGGUUAGUGCAAUGGCAUAAGCUAGCUUGACUGCGAGCGUGACGGCGCGAGCAGGUGCGAAAGCAGGUCAUAGUGAUCCGGUGGUUCUGAAUGGAAGGGCCAUCGCUCAACGGAUAAAAGGUACUCCGGGGAUAACAGGCUGAUACCGCCCAAGAGUUCAUAUCGACGGCGGUGUUUGGCACCUCGAUGUCGGCUCAUCACAUCCUGGGGCUGAAGUAGGUCCCAAGGGUAUGGCUGUUCGCCAUUUAAAGUGGUACGCGAGCUGGGUUUAGAACGUCGUGAGACAGUUCGGUCCCUAUCUGCCGUGGGCGCUGGAGAAUUGAGGGGGGCUGCUCCU
rnacentral:rRNA from 1 species